rnacentral:rRNA from 1 species
UACGGAGGGUGCGAGCGUUGUCCGGAAUCAUUGGGCGUAAAGGGCGCGUAGGUGGCCCGGUCAGUUCGUGGUGAAAGCGCGGGGCUCAACCCUGCGUCGGCCAUGAAUACUGCCGCGGCUGGAGCACUGUAGAGGCAGGCGGAAUUCCGGGUGUAGCGGUGGAAUGCGUAGAGAUCCGGAAGAACACCGGUGGCGAAGGCGGCCCGCUGGGCAGUUGCUGACACUGAGGCGCGACAGCGUGGGGAGCAAACAGGG